AGGCCCUGGGUGUGGUAGCCUUUCCUGCUUGGGCCAGUAGUGUCUCGGCCUGGGUCUCUCUUUCCCACUUCCACCCAAAUGGUGACACCAUUCGGAACCAGAGUGAGACCCGGACGUGGGACACACUUGGGUGCAGGACAUUUUCCUCCUGUUAUGGCUCGGGAAAUGUCCCCCACAGGUUUCUGUUUUGAAGGUUCCCCUGGGAAGAGGGAAAGAGGGGAAGGGCCCCUCCACAGCCUCCCCCCAGUCAUGGCAGAGACACAACUACUUGGAAAUAAUGAAAGGCCAUCCUGGCUCCAUCAAGAUUGUAACCUUUCCUCAUUGUGACUGGAGAAUCCUGAGACUCCAAUGUCUUCCUAUCCUCAUUGUGGCUGGAGAAUGAAUCCCGGAUACCGACUUCUGAAGACCCUGCUCCUAUCUUUUAUACUCCUCUAGUGCUGGGAUUAAAGGUGUGUGAUCCCAGGUAUUGAGAGCAUCUUUGUAUGAGCAAUCUUGUGCGGAUCUGGGUGACCCUGGACUCACAGAGAUCUACCUCUUAAUCCUGAGUCCUAGGAUAUGUACCACAACCUCCUAGCU